UUGCCGCAGGCAACGACCCGAAGGGCGAAGCGCGCAGCGCUGAGUCAUCCUCCCCCCACCACCA
rnacentral:sRNA from 1 species